rnacentral:rRNA from 1 species
GAUGAACGCUAGCGGCAGGCCUAAUACAUGCAAGUCGAACGGUGUCUUCGGACAUAGUGGCGCACGGGUGCGUAACACGUAUGCAACCUACCUUACAUUGGGGGAUAGCCUUUCGAAAGGGAGAUUAAUACCGCAUAAGACAGUAGCUGGGCAUCCAGCAGCUGUUAAAGAUUUAUCGAUGUAAGCUGGGCAUGCGUCCAAUUAGCUAGUUGGUGAGGUAACGGCUCACCAAGGCAAUGAUGGGUAGGGGAACUGAGAGGUGAAUCCCCCACACUGGCACUGAGAUACGGGCCAGACUCCUACGGGAGGCAGCAGUAGGGAAUAUUGGGCAAUGGACGCAAGUCUGACCCAGCCAUGCCGCGUGCAGGAUGAAGGCGUUAUGCGUUGUAAACUGCUUUUAUACAGGAAGAAACGACUCUUGCGAGAGGCAUUGACGGUACUGUAUGAAUAAGCACCGGCUAACUCCGUGCCAGCCGCCGCAGUAAGAC